rnacentral:rRNA from 1 species
UACCCCACUAUGCCUAGCCUUAAACUUUGAUAGUAAGACCUACUAUCCGCCAGAGAAUUACGAGCGAAAAGCUUAAAACUCAAAAGACUUGACGGUGCCCCAAACCAACCUAGAGGAGCCUGUCCUAUAAUCGAUGACCCGCGCUUUACCCCACCUGCCCUCGCACAAAUCAGCCAGCCUAUAUACCGCCGCCUUCCAGCCUACCUUACAAAAGUAACACAGCAAGCAAAAUAGCCCCUCCGCUAAAACGUCAGGUCAAGGUGUAGCUAAUGGGCAGGAAAGAGAUGGGCUACAUUCUCUACGCACAUAGACCACCACCCCCGGUAUCAUGAAAACAUACCUCAAAGGAGGAUUUAGUAGUAAUUUAGGCAAGACUUCCUAAAUGAAUCCUGCUCUGGGGCGCGUAC